CCCACUGAGCCAUCUCACCAGCCCCAAGAAUAAAUUUUUUAAAAAAAUUUUUUGAGGCUGGAGAGAUGGCUUAGUAGU
rnacentral:pre_miRNA from 1 species